rnacentral:lncRNA from 1 species
UAUAAUGAAAACAGCUGCAGAGGAACACUGACAGACGCUGCAGGUGUGGAAAGAUUUUCGCAGAGAUUCUCCCGCGGCGAGAAAGAAUGGACUGUGGCUCCAGUGAAAGAGAGAGCAACUUAUGAGUAUGUGCCUGCAUUGCUAAGCCAUGUCAUGCAAUGCCUCGAGAAGUGGCCAUCAUUUUCAGCUGCUGAAAACUCAGUUGUGCGAAGCCAUCAUGACACACUCUCAGCCAAGUAUGGUCCAAAGCCAUCGAUGGAAGAUGCAAGGAAGAGGCGAUAUUCACGCUUUGCACCUCACACAUAGAUCAUUGGUUGAUCUGUGAUCCUGCUGCCAUGUUUG